AUGCUUACCUGGCAGGAGAGAUCCCAUGAUCCCAAAGGUGGUUUUCCCAGGGCGAGGCUUAUCCAUUGCACUCCGGCUAUGCUGACCCCUGUGAUUUUCGCACACGUGGGAAACUCGACUGCGUGAUCUGUGGUUGUGGGGACUGUGCUCGUGCUCUCCCCU